rnacentral:rRNA from 1 species
AGGUAAAGCACUGAAUGGACUAGGGGCCGCGAGGUUACCGAACCCUAUCAAACUAAGAAUGCCGGAUAAUUGGUGCAUGGCAGUCAGACUACGUGAGAUAAGUCUCGUGGUCAAAAGGGAAACAGCCCAGAUCCACAGCUAAGGUCCCUAAUAGAUGCUAAGUGUAAAAUGAUGUGGAGUUGCACAGACAACCAGGAUGUUGGCUUAGAAGCAGCCACACAUUCAAAGAGUGCGUAAUAGCUCACUGGUCGAGUGAUCCUGCGCCGAAAAUGUAACGGGGCUAAAACGCGACACCGAAGCAGCGGGAUGCGUAAGCAUCGGUAGAGGAGCAUUGUGUGAGGAUAGAAGCCAGAGCGGGAGCACUGGUGGACUUCACAGAAGAGAGAAUGCCGGUAUGAGUAGCGAGACCCAUGCGAGAAACAUGGGCGUCGAAGGCCCAAGGUUUCCUGGGGAAGGUUCAUCCACCCAGGGUAAGUCGGGACCUAAGCCGAGGACUGAGGUCGUAGGCGAUGGACAGCAGGUAGAGAUUCCUGCACCACUUACACUUGUUUGACGAAGCAGUGACACAGAAGGAUAGGACGAGCGCGGUGAUGGUCAACCGCGUAGGCGGCACGAGGCUGGGGAGCAGUAAAGUACACUUCCCGGGAAGGCUGAGUGCUGACAGGACCGAAAAAGAGUAGGGAAGCGUCUGAGUUCACGCUGGCGAGAAAAGCUGCUAAGGAGAGUGUGAGUGCCCGUACCGGAAACCGACGCAGGUGGGCGAGGAGAGAAUCCUGAGACGGACGGGAGAACUCUUGUUAAGGAACUCGGCAAAAUGACCCCGUAACUUCGGGAGAAGGGGUGCCUCGAAAGAGGCCGCAGAGAAUAGUCACAAGCGACUGUUUAGCAAAAACACAGGUAUCUGCGAAAGCGAGAGCUGACGUAUAGGUGCUGACGCCUGCCCGGUGCUGGAAGGUUAAGGGGAAGUGUUAGGGGAAACCCGAAGCAGAGAACCGAAGCCCCAGUAAACGGCGGCCGUAACUAUAACGGUCCUAAGGUAGCGAAAUUCCUUGUCGGGUAAGUUCCGACCCGCACGAAUGGCGUAACGACUUGUGAGCUGUCUCAACAGGAGGCCCGGUGAAAUUGAAGUAUGUGUGAAGAUGCACAUUACCCGCGACUGGACGGAAAGACCCCGUAGAGCUUUACUGUAACCUGACAUUGGAUCUUGAUAACGGAUGCACAGGAUAGGUGGGACGCUGGGAGGUAUGGACUUUGGUCUGUACGGAGCGGACGUUGGGAUACCACUCUUCUGUUAUUGAGAUUCUAACCUCAAGCCGUAAGCCGGAUGAGAGACAGUGUCAGGCGGACAGUUUGACUGGGGCGGUCGCCUCCGAAAGAGUAACGGAGGCGCCCAAAGGUACCCUCAGAAUGGAUGGAAACCAUUCGAAGAGAGCAAAGUCAGAAGGGUGCUUGACUGCGAGACCAACAAGUCGAGCAGGUACGAAAGUAGGGCUUAGUGAUCCGGCGGUAAGAGAGUGGAAUUGCCGUCGCUCAACGGAUAAAAGCUACCUCGGGGAUAACAGGCUGAUCUCCCCCAAGAGUUCACAUCGACGGGGAGGUUUGGCAC